rnacentral:rRNA from 1 species
GACGAACGCUGGCGGCGUGCCUAAUACAUGCAAGUCGAACGCUUCUUUUUCACCGAGUGCUUGCACUCACCGAGAAAAGAGGAGUGGCGGACGGGUGAGUAACACGUGGGUAACCUGCCCAUUAGAGGGGGAUAACACUUGGAAACAGGUGCUAAUACCGCAUAAUUCUUUUUGUCGCAUGGCAGAGAGAUAAAAGACGCUUUCGGGUGUCACUAAUGGAUGGACCCGCGCUGCAUUAGUUAGUUGGUAGGGUAACGGCCUACCAAGACCGUGAUGCAUAGCCGACCUGAGAGGGUGAUCGGCCACACUGGGACUGAGACACGGCCCAGACUCCUACGGGAGGCAGCAGUAGGGAAUCUUCGGGCAAUGGACGAAAGUCUGACCGAGCAACGCCGCGUGAGUGAAGAAGGUUUUCGGAUCGUAAAACUCUGUUGUUAGAGAAGAACAAGUGGGAGAGUAACUGUUCCCACCUUGACGGUAUCUAACCAGAAAGCCACGGCUAACUACGUGCCAGCCGCC